rnacentral:lncRNA from 1 species
UUGAAUCAUGCUUUUAUUACUCAACUUAGGUCUCUUUGUCCUUUUUCACCCUAUUUCUCUCUCAUGCAAUCACAUUAAGCCCUUUAUCCGACACACACAUUGAGGAUAUUUGUUAGUGAUUUGUGAUUUAUUUUUGCCAACGGGGUUCUGGUAUCUAAGAGGUUCACCCCUUUUCAAAUUGCCGUUACGGGGGAUCAGCCGUAAUCUGCCCUAUCAAGUUCAGAAUCAGAGACCUCAGAACCAACCAACCACAAGAAC